AUUUCUGCCACUUGGACAUGCAAAUGUUGCGAUGUCUCAACCUUCUCAAAUCCAAUUUCCUCAUCCUAUGCAACAGGUUACUGGUAGACCUGUAGUAGGAAUGCAUAGUAUGCCUCAGGGACCACCUAUUCCCCAUGAUUUUCAGCGAAAUCUUCCGAUGUCAAAUAACCACAUGCCUGGUUCUGGUGGCCCAAAUUUACCUCUUUCUUCUUCAUAUAAUCAGGUAAAUGCAGAUUCUUCUGGCUCCAGUAUCAAACACAGAUAAAUGAUCAUAGGUUUCCAUCAGGGUUGUAACCCUGGAUGCCAAUAAGUAAUCAUAAUGUGAAUUCUGCAACAACUAUGUAGAAUUAACAGCUCCCUUGGUUGUUCCGGAAGCAAAUUACGUAGUUGAGACUGUUCAGUCAGAUUGGAUUGAGCAUACUACUCGAAAGGGGAAAAAGUAUGUGAUUCCCUUUUUUGAAUUGUCAACAAGUAACAUGCUUAAGUUAAUGGGUUAAUGGGUGUGUGUUGACUGAGAGAGUCAACAUUUGAAUUCUAUGAUAGUUUUUUGCAAGCAAAUUAAGAUUCCGGUGAACAAAAAAGGUGUAAAACCGCGGUAUACAAGAAAAGGAGCUUUGCAAAAAUAUCAUUUUCAUUCAGAUCCAAUCUUUUUACCACUUUGUGUUCUCC